rnacentral:lncRNA from 1 species
AUGCAUACCACUCAACCUGACUUAUUUUAUUUUCCUUUUUCUUUCUUUUUUUUUUUUUUUGUAGAGAUGGGGUCUUGCUGUGUUGCCCAGGCUGGUCUUGAACUCCUGGGCUCAAACAGUCCUCCUGCCUCAGCCUCCAGAGUCAAUUUGCAGACAUUCUUACAUCUCCUUCUCCACCUCUACACCUCUUUUCAACAAAAUCCCUAUUCUUGUUUCAUUAGGACUACAACAAAAUCCCUAUUCUUGCUGAAGUCAGGAGUCUUUUUUUUUUUUCUCGAGAUGGAGUUUUGCUCUUUUUGCCCAGGCUAGAGUGCAAUGGUGCGAUCUUGGCCCACUGCAGUCUCUGCCUCCCAGGUUCAAGCGAUUCUCCUGCCUCAGCCUCCCAAGUAGAUGGGAUUACAGGUGCAAGCCACCACACCAAGCUAAUUUUUGUAUUUUUAGUAGAGACGGGGUUUCAUCAUGUUGGCCAGGCUGGUCUCGAACUCCUGACCUCAAGUGAUCCACCCAUCUUGGCCUCCAGAGUGCUAGGAUUACAGGUGUGAGCCACCGUGACCAGCCAGGAGUCUUUAAAAAAAAAAAAAAAAAAAAAAUCAAUCAGUCAAUGAAGGCCAGGCUCAAUGGUUCACACCUGUAAUCCCAACACUUUGAAGGGGUCAAGGGAAAAGGCUUGUUUGAGCAUAGGGCAAUAUAGUGAUACAUCACCCCUGCAAAAAAAAAAAAAAAAAAAAUUAGCUGGGUGUGGUGGCACACUGUAGUCCCAUCUACUUGGGAGGCUGAGGUGGGAGGAUCACUUGCGCCUGGGAUGUCGACACUGCAGUAAGCUUUGAUUGCACCACUGCACUCCAGCCUGGGCAACAGAGCAAGACACUGUCUCAAGAAAAAAAAAAAAUGAGUGCAUUUCAUGAUAUGUAAAUUUUACCUCAGUAAGUUUAUUUUUUAAAGAUGAAAGUGUCUCAACUACUCAUCCCUCUUCCCAAAUCAUUUUAUUUCCUUUGGCAGGAUACUGUUAAAAUACCAAAUUCUCGGCUGGGAGAGGUGGCUCACGCCUGUAGUCCCAGCACUUUGGGAGGCUGAGGUGGGUGGAUCAUGGGGUCAGGAGUUCAAGAUCAGUCUGGCCAACAUGGUAAAACCCCAUUUCUACUAAAACUACAAAAAUUAGCCAGGCAUGGUGGUGGAUGCCUGUAAUCCCAGCUGCUUGGGAGGCUGAAGCAGGAGAAUUGCUUGAGCCUGGGAGGCAGAGGUUGCAGUGAGCCAAAAUCGCACCAUUGCACUCCAGCCUGGGUGACUGAGAAAGACUCUGUCUCAAAUAAAUAAAUAAAUCAAAUUCUUUUCUAGAAGUCCUUCAGGUCAUUAAGUUACCAUGUGUUUAUAUGUGCAUAAAAGCAUACUGUCCACACAUAUGCACAAAAUUUAAUUCAACUCACUGGGCCUCCAGUUAUGUUUUAAUGACAUAUGAUGACUACAUGUGGCCUGGUGCGGUGGCUCAUGUCUGUAAUCCUAGCACUUUGAAGGGCCAAGGUGGGGGGAUUACUUGAGCUCAAGAGCUCGAAACCAGCCUGGGCAACAUGGUAAAACCCUGUGCUCUACUAAAAAUACCCCAAAAAAUUAGCCGGAUGUGGUGACACACACCUGUAGUACCAGCUACUCAGGAAGCUGAGGUGGGAGGAUUGCCUGAGCCCAGGAGGCGGAAGUUGCAGUGAACCAAGAUCAUGCCACUGCACUCCAGCUUGGGUGACAGAGUGAGAGCCCCAUCUCAAAAAAAAAAAAAAAAAAAAAGACAAUAUCGUUUGAAAUCACAUUACCAGUUUUCGGACCUGAAAGCUGAAACAGCCUCUUUUGAAUCAAAAGUGAUGGAAAAGAAAUUCUUAGAAUCCUGUAGAAAGAGGAAAAUAGCAUUCAUAUUCCUCUCACCACUACUCCAUUUCUCCUAGUUCCUGAUGUAUUGUGGGGUUCUUUUUUUUUUUUUUUUUUUGGUUUUGUUGUGUGUUUUUGUCCUGAUACUAAUUGUUUUGUUUUGUGGUUUGUGGUUGUGAAAAUUGAGUUCGAGAAUUGAAGAGAAAUUGAUUUUCAAGACAGAAUAAAAAUAACCCUAAAUAUUGAGCUUGAAGAGGUCAAAUAUUUUUUCUUCCUUCUAUACUGUAAACAAAGUGCAGGGGCAGGUACAUUCCUUGUAGAAAAUCAUCAAACUUUUGAAAUAACCCAAAGAUAACUUUUUUUUCUUUUUGAGACAAAGUCUUGCUCUGUCACCCAGGCUGGAGGGCAGUGGCAUUAUCUCGGCUCACUGCAACCUCUGCCUUAUGGGUUCAAGUGAUUAUCCUGCCUGAGCCUCCCGAGUAGCUAAUAUUUUUGUAUUUGCAGUAGGAGGGGGGUUUCACCAUGUUGGCCAGGCUGGUCUUGAAUGCCUGACCUCAAGUGAUCUACCUGUCUCCCAAAGUGAUGGGGUUACAGGUGUGAGCUACCACGCCCAGCCUGAUAACUUUUUUCUCCUGGGAGGUGGCAAGGUUUAUCUCGAUAAGAUACAUAACAUAAUGUCCAUCAUUUGAACCACGCACAAGUGUACAAUUCAUUGGCUAAACUAUAUCCACAAUGUUGUGUAAUUAUCACUAUCUAUACCUAAAAUUUUUUUUAUCAUCCCUGACAAAAACUUUAUACCCAUUAACUAACAGCUCUCUCUUAGACAAGGUGGCAUGGAAAUUAAAAAUAAAACAAAACAGAACAAAACAAAAAAAUCUCUCCCUUCCCACUCCCCAUAGUCACUGGUAGAUGCUCCUCUAUCAGAGAGUUUUUAAAUAUUUGAAUUUUUUUUUUUGAGACAGAUGCUUGCGCUGUCACCCAGGCUGGAGUGCAGUGGCGCUAUCCCGGCUCACAGCAACCUCCGCCUCCCAGGUUCGAGUGAUUCUCGUCCCUCAGCCUCCUGAAGUAGCUGGGAUUACAGGGGCAUGCCACGACGUCUGGCUAAUUUUGUAUUUUUAGUAGAGAUGGGGUUUCAGCAUGUUGGCCAGGCUGGUCUCAAACUCCUCACAUCAAGUGCUCCACACGCCUUGUUCUCCCAGAGUGCUGGGAUUACAGGCGUGAGCUACCGAGCCCAGACCUUCUGCUCUUUAUUAAUAUGUUUGUUUUUACAGAGGUCUUGAUAGCUUAUUUAGGCCCCCUGAAUUUCACAAGUUGUGAACACUUCAACAUUGCGUUAGAGUGUCAAGUCCUACUCAUGUCUGAACAGUGAAAGUACUGAUAAAAAAAAAAAGAUCUUAUGCUAGCAAGUUAUUAUUUUUUAAGAUAGAACUGGCCCGGCGCGGUGGCUCACACCCGUAAUCCCAGCACUUUGGGAGGCCGAGGAGGGCGGAUCAUGAGGUCAGGAGAUGGAGACCCUCCUGGCUAACACUGUGAAACCCUGUCUCUACUAAAAAUACAAAAAAUGAGCUGGGCAUGGUGGCGGGCGCCUGUAAUCCCCGCUACUGGGGAGGCUGAGGCAGGAGAAUGAAGUGAAUCCGGGAGGCGGAGUUUGCGGUGAGCCAAGAUUGCGCCACUGCACUCCAGUCUGGGUGACAGAAUGAGACUCCGUCUCAAAAAAAAAAAAAAAAAAAAGAAUACAAACUGUAACUUAAUUAACAGCCUUGUUAAUUAUUCUUUUCCAAAGCUCUUUUUGAAGUUACUCACCUGCUGGUCACAUGUGAGGCAUUAUCUCAUUCUCUGUACUUCCCAAAUCCAUUCAUAGUUUGUCCUUCUCAGUAACUUAACUUAGGCCUUCAUCAGUGUUAAACUAUUCCAGUCCAUGAAAAGUAGUUUUGUAAGGACCUAAUGAAAUAGCUAGGGUUUUUAUUAUUUAUUUACUUUUUUAAAGCUAAAACAUUACUCAAUUUGUGUGGCCAUGUUGCAACUGUGAGAGUUUUGGCUAGUCAAUAUUAGCUCAGGGGUAACAUUCAUUAAAAUUCAAACCAGUUGUUAACUUGAAAAAACAGCAGUGCAAUAAUAUAUCCACUUGGAAUUUACUCCCUGUUCA